AUCAAUACAUGGAAGAGGUGUUCACUGAUUUGGACCAAAAAAUGUGGGCCAACUUGAUGGGGGAGGGGGGCUUAACAGGUUAUAGGUAGGUUUAAAUAUUCUUGGAUUUGUAAUUCAUUAAAGACAUAAAUCUUUCUCUAAAGGAUUGGAAUGUUUUGAGAUAAGGAGGUCUGUUAAUCAGAAACAAGUCACUAGGCAUAUAUUUGUUGUGUAAAUUGAGGACCCUCAGGCUUGUUUGGCAUAGCCCUUUGGCCUGCAAAUGAGUUACAAAGGAUGUCUGCAAGAAUGGAGGGGAGCAUGAGGAGGCAUGUUGACCUUCCUCCUUGUAGCAGGCAAUUUAGUUCUAGGAUAUUCGCUUAGCCAGGAGGGGAUCAAUUCAGUCAGCUGCUGGUGGGCAAAGAGGUCGCCGGCUGCUUCUUGCUGACUCACACCCAGAGCUGUGAGUCCACGCCUGGCUGAAUUCACACACCGACGGUGUUGCCAAGAUCCAGGGAGCUCAGGCUCUUCUUGCUGUCCACUCUAAAGCCAAGGAGACAUUUGAAGGGGACUCUCAGGUGUCACCAUGAAAUAGAAGACGCCCAGCUGUCAGGUUGUGGAGAACAACACCGAUGUUCCACACGUCCACCUCCGGUCCCACGUAUUCUUCAUCGAGGACCGUUUCUGGGGCACAAAAAGGAGGAGCUCCACAGAAGGUGUCCCACAUCUUCCCCUCAUGAAAUGUGGCAAAGCUGAAGUUUGCCAGAUUGGUGUUCUCACUCUCAUCAAGUAGAAGAUUGGGGGGUCAGUUCCGGGGGCAACGUGGUUCUCGCAGCAGUACUGCUUGGCAGCCAGGAUCUGGUGGAAUUUGGCCUCCUCAUUCAGGCAGUGGGGUCUCACUAUGUCCCAGAAAAGGUCCCUGCCACGGGCAUACUCUGUGACUAAGCAGAGGGUGUCUUCAUUCUUGGUGACAACCAGAAGCUGAAGGAAGCUCGAUGAUUCAGGGCUCUCAUGGCUUGGACCUCCAUAUCAACACUUUCCAGGCUGGGGAGGGUCUUCUUGGACCUAGUUUUCCUGGUCACCUGGGUCCCAGUAGGAGGGUGCUGGGCCAGCAUCGCCUUGUCAAAGCUGCCCAAGCCAAUUGUCUUGAGGGCUUUAUAACUGUUGAAGUCCUCAGUGGAUGAACUGAGGGCCAGGCCUGCUCCAUGGUUGCUUCUAAAGAGGCUAACUCUAUACUAACGACACUAACUAACUAAUGAGCACCGCCACCUAUACUAACUAGCCUAAGACUACUAACAGUACUAACUCUACUAACUACUCUGACAAUACUAACAAUACUAACUGUAUGAACUAUGCUAAAAAUACUAAUAAAUAAUGCUAAAUAGGAUAACGAUGCUAAUUACACUAAUACUACAAAAAAUAAUCCCAAGUAUACUAUCCUAACAGUAAUAAAAAACAAUAUUAACUAUGCCAUGCUAAGGCUACUAGCAAACAAUAUUAACUAGAGUAUGGUAACAAAACUAACAAACUUACUAUCCUACACUAACACAACUAGCAAACAACGCUAACCAUACUAACUACACUAACCAUGCUAACUAACAAGGAACCAGCAGUCUCACUGUGGUCAAACUCCACAGGUCACCAAAAAGCAGCUUCCUGGGCAAUAUGGAUGGAAAUCCUAGGCCCAGCCAGGGGCUUACACAGGUGUUGGUAAGUUGGUCACAAUGGCUCUUUAUGAGGUCAGAGCAGGAAAUGGGCCAAUCAGGGCUGGGUAGAACCCACAGUGGCUUUUUCCUUUUUUUGUCACAAGCACAUUUUCCUCUUUAAAGAAAACAAGUGUUUUUUGUUCACAUGGUUAUAGAGAUUGAGAUAUAGUUUACUAGAAAUUUAAACCUGUGCAAUGCUUCAGGGACCUUUCCAUUUAUAGUUUGAAAAUCUGUAAUAACUUCAGGCUUUCAAAGACCUCAUAAUGUCUAUACUUGAAGUACUCAAUUUCUUUUUCUUUAAAUUCUGAUUGGUGCCAGGGUGAUGCUACGACAUAGCUGACAUGAUCCUCCUGUAAGUGACAUUCCUGGUGCAGGGAGAAGCGUGUCCGGGCCAGCUCUGCACCUCAGGCCCCAGCCAGCCUGGCCCGGAAUGAGGGAGAAGAAGUGGCAGACACCACAACCCAGCGCUGGGCUGCGGGUGGAGCCAGGGCUGAGGCGGGAUGGCUGCGACCCAGGUGCAGCGGGAGGUUCCAUGAAGACACGGACUGGAACUGUUCUGGUUCCUGUCCUGGCCUCCUUGCCCUGAGUCAGGUGGUGCUGAAAACAUCAUGACCCUGCUCAGGAAGGCCAACCCCUCCUGGUGGCCACUUGGAGCCACAGAGGCCAGUGCCCUGGUGUGGAUUCCUGGGCUGGGCUCUCAACAACCUCUGCUCCUCGGGACAGGUGGCCGCUGUGAGCUGAACGCGCAGCAGACCCGAGAUGUCCAUGAGGAAAAGACUGUCUGCAAGGCCCUUGCAAAUCCUGGCAAACUUACCCAG